rnacentral:rRNA from 1 species
UAAUUGAAUUUUUAAAAAUAGUGAAUGCUUAAAUAAUAUUUAGAUUUUAUUUUCUUAUUUUUCGGUGAAAUGAUGAAUAAUAAGUAUGUAAGUUGAUUUAAAGAGCGAAUUAAUUUUGUAUAUUAAGAUUUUUGGACUAUAAACUAAAACAUUUGGCGGUCUUAAAUGUAAUUAGAGGAAUUUGCUCUGUAAUCGAUUUUACACGAAAUUUUUUACUUUUGUUUAUGGUAUGUAUACCGCUGUUGUUAGAUUAAGAGGCUUGGUCUGUUAGUUUUGAAAAUGAAUUUCAGGUCAAGGUGCAGCUUAUAUAAAAGAUUGAAGUGAAUUACAUUAUUUAGAAUAUACGGAUUUGAUUUCUAAAGGGAUUGAUGAAGGUGGAUUUAAUUGUAAUUUUUUUAAAGAUUUAAGGCUGACUAAUAAUUUUAAG